rnacentral:rRNA from 1 species
GACAGAGGGUGCAAACGUUGUUCGGAAUUACUGGGCGUAAAGCGCAUGUAGGCGGCCAUGCAAGUCGGGUGUGAAAGCCCAGGGCUCAACCCUGGAAGUGCACUCGAAACUGCACGGCUGGAGUCUCGGAGAGGAUCGCGGAAUUCUGGGUGUAGAGGUGAAAUUCGUAGAUAUCCAGAGGAACACCAGUGGCGAAGGCGGCGAUCUGGACGAGUACUGACGCUGAGAUGCGAAAGCGUGGGGAGCAAACAGG